rnacentral:rRNA from 1 species
UACAGAAGGUGCGAGCGUUGUCCGGAAUCACUGGGCGUAAAGGGCGCGUAGGUGGCGGCCCAAGUCCAUGGUGAAAGCUCGAUGCUCAACAUCGAGUCGGCCACGGAUACUGGGUUGCUCGAGCACUGUAGGGGCAGAUGGAAUUCCGGGUGUAGCGGUGGAAUGCGUAGAGAUCCGGAAGAACACCGGUGGCGAAGGCGGUCUGCUGGGCAGUUGCUGACACUGAGGCGCGACAGCGUGGGGAGCAAACAGG